UGGGGAAUAUUGGACAAUGGGGGAAACCCUGAUCCAGCAAUGCCGCGUGAGUGAAGAAGGCCUUAGGGUUGUAAAGCUCUUUCGCCCGCGAAGAUAAUGACGGUAGCGGGGGAAGAAGCCCCGGCUAACUCCGUGCCAGCAGCCGCGGUAAUACGGAGGGGGCUAGCGUUGUUCGGAAUUACUGGGCGUAAAGCGUACGUAGGCGGAUGCGCAAGUUGGGGGUGAAAUCCCGGGGCUUAACCUCGGAAUUGCCCUCAAAACUGCACGUCUUGAGACCGAGAGAGGUAAGGGGAAUUCCUAGUGUAGAGGUGAAAUUCGUAGAUAUUAGGAAGAACACCAGUGGCGAAGGCGCCUUACUGGCUCGGUACUGACGCUGAGGUACGAAAGCGUGGGGAGCAAACA
rnacentral:rRNA from 1 species